rnacentral:lncRNA from 1 species
CAAUUACAUGAUAAAAAUAUAAAUAAAAAAGAUAUUAUUAAUAUUUAGUCAUCUUGGAUGUUAGAAAUAGUGGCCAAUUUUAGUGCCAAUAUUUAAGAUCAGUUAAUGUCACCUCACCAACGUCAUCAAACCAAGUACCCUCUGUACCAAUGGGACAACUAGGAUCAUUUUCCAACCCUACAUGGAACAAGCCUAGUAGGUAUAUACCGGUGGAGACAUCCAAUAGGCAUGAUG